rnacentral:rRNA from 1 species
GUGUUGGUGGGCAAAGCCCAUCGGUGCCGUCGCAAACGCAAUAAGCAUUCCACCUGGGGAGUACGUUCGCAAGAAUGAAACUCAAAGGAAUUGACGGGGACCCGCACAAGCGGUGGAGCAUGUGGUUUAAUUAGAAGCAACGCGAAGAACCUUACCAAGUCUUGACAUCCUCCUGAAUGAUGGGUAAAGCCAUCAGGCCUUCGGGACAGGAGAGACAGGUGGUGCAUGGUUGUCGUCAGCUCGUGUCGUGAGAUGUUGGGUUAAGUCCCGCAACGAGCGCAACCCUUAUCAUUAGUAGCCAGCAGGUAGAGCUGGGGACUCUAGUGAGACUGCCAGGGAGAACCUGGAGGAAGGUGGGGAUGACGUCAAAU